AAGAGUUUGAUCCUGGCUCAGAUUGAACGCUGGCGGCAGGCCUAACACAUGCAAGUCGAACGGUAACAGAAAGCAGCUUGCUGCUUUGCUGACGAGUGGCGGACGGGUGAGUAAUGUCUGGGAAACUGCCUGAUGGAGGGGGAUAACUACUGGAAACGGUAGCUAAUACCGCAUAACGUCGCAAGACCAAAGAGGGGGACCUUCGGGCCUCUUGCCAUCGGAUGUGCCCAGAUGGGAUUAGCUUGUUGGUGGGGUAACGGCUCACCAAGGCGACGAUCCCUAGCUGGUCUGAGAGGAUGACCAGCCACACUGGAACUGAGACACGGUCCAGAC
rnacentral:rRNA from 1 species